rnacentral:rRNA from 1 species
UACGUAGGGUCCGAGCGUUGUCCGGAGUGACUGGGCGUAAAGCGCGCGCAGGCGGUCUGUUAGGCACGACGUGAAAGCCCCGGGCUCAACCCGGGAGGGUCGUCGUGAACCGGCGGGCUUGAGGCCGGUAGAGGUGGGUGGAACUCCUGGUGGAGUGGUGAAAUGCGUAGAGAUCAGGAAGAACACCCGUGGCGAAGGCGGCCCACUGGGCCGGUACUGACGCUGAGGCGCGAAGGCGUGGGGAGCGAACGGG